CGCCUGGGGAGUGCGGUCGCAAGAUUAAAACUCAAAGGAAUUGACGGGGACCCGCACAAGCGGUGGAUGAUGUGGAUUAAUUCGAUGCAACGCGAAAAACCUUACCUACCCUUGACAUGCCACUAACGAAGCAGAGAUGCAUUAGGUGCUCGAAAGAGAAAGUGGACACAGGUGCUGCAUGGCUGUCGUCAGCUCGUGUCGUGAGAUGUUGGGUUAAGUCCCGCAACGAGCGCAACCCUUGUCUCUAGUUGCUACGAAAGGGCACUCUAGAGAGACUGCCGGUGACAAACCGGAGGAAGGUGGGGAUGACGUCAAGUCCUCAUGGCCCUUAUGGGUAGGGCUUCACACGUCAUACAAUGGUGCAUACAGAGGGUUGCCAAGCCGCGAGGUGGAGCUAAUCCCAGAAAAUGCAUCGUAGUCCGGAUCGUAGUCUGCAACUCGACUACGUGAAGCUGGAAUCGCUAGUAAUCGCGGAUCAGCAUGCCGCAGUGAAUACGUUCCCGGGUCUUGUACACACCGCCCGUCACACCAUGGGAGUGGGCUUUACCAGAAGUAGUUAGCCUAAACCGCAAGGAGGGCGAUUACCACGGUAGGGUUCAUGACUGGGGUGGAAGUCGUAACAAGGUAACCGUA
rnacentral:rRNA from 1 species